UGUUAUUGACGACAAAUUGAUAGCUUAAAACGAAGCAUUUGCGGUUACACGCGAGGGAGCAAUAAAAUGAUAAUCAUAUUACAUUUGCCUGCUCGUUACGGUUUCGGACAACAUACAAUUCGCGAUGACAAAUGCGCAGUGUAGACGUCUGGUGGCUCAUAAAUUUUAUUUUUGAAGUGUGUUCAUUUCACCUGAUAAUCCAUCAUAGUCGCUAUCGCUUCCCAAAUUCGGAGUAGGAAGCUCAAUGUCGUCAACACGGAUCAACUAUGCUCCAAAUCACUCCAUUUGUAAACACUCCUCGGGACUGUCACUCGAACACUGCCGUUGCCGGUCAAAGUACGUAGAAUAGAAGUUCAAAAAAUCGUACAAAGUGACAAAAUCGUAAGUCGACCCGACGAUAAACACGAUAGUGUACCGCAUUUUCACUGCAGGUAAGGUUUGAUGUGAUUUUUUUUAUCGAUUUCAUACUGAACAGUGUUUGUUUACUUCAGCAAUAUGUCGAAGUGCCACGUCCCGCGAUGCCGGAGCAGAAAAAUUUUAAAACUUGGGGAUACUGUUUUAACCUAUAAUCAGCAAAGAAGACAUCUUUGUACUGGAGCUAUCUAAUGCAUUCGCUUCUUGGAUCUUCCUAAACGUUCCGUUCCAAUGGUUUCACACAAAAUUCCAAAUUUAUACAUUAACUUCUUGCGAAAGUGCAAAAAAAAUUAUUUGCAAUCAAUUCGGAAGAUGACCCGGCGUGGAGGAAAUGUUUUUCUCGUUUUUCAGAAACGCCAAUUUGGUCCCGGCUGAACGGCUGAACACUCCAAACCGAAACCAUUGAAAGCGUCGCGAUGAUUCUUGAUAGCUGCUUCAAUAAAAGAGAAAAAAAAAUCAGCAGUGUGGGAGUUAAUCUUUCAUCAUACUAUCAACGACACGAAACGAAACUGCUUCGAUAUAACCUCUCCACACAUUUGUUCAUCGGUUA